rnacentral:lncRNA from 1 species
CCAAAACAUCAGCAAAAAUGAGUAUCAAACCACCGGAUGGCAGUCAAACGACUGAUUUGACCACCAGAAACCCUAGAGGUUGAAAACUCACCGAAAAAUAUCCGAAAAUUUCACAACAAUCGAUUGAACCGUUCAAGAGACGAAGAACAGUCACAGAUCGUGAAGAUAAAGGCUCGGAAGAACCCUAAUGGGAGUCAAAACCAUCACCGACCUUUCGAUCUCAGAAAACCCCAAAAAUCUCAUCAGAGAAUGGUUCAA